AAUUGUUUUAGUUUAUGUUUUUUUUUUGUCACUGUAAAGCUGUUCGCACGCGACAUUUACCAGAGAAUUACCCAUAUAUAGUUUUACGACCACAAUAUUAAUUAAUGUUAUUUCCACUUGAAAGGGAUCGUGGCAAUUCUUAAUCAAUUGCAAAGCUGGUACAAAGUUAAGCGCUGUUCCCAGAUGGGCGAAAUCGUGUUUUUUCCACACAAUUCUAUUUAAAAAAAAUAGUCUGUCAAAUAUUUACAGUUUACAGCAGGGCGAGUUACAAUGUCUUCCGAUAUGCGUACUGCGGCACUCGGGAAAUCACUGUCUCCCGAUCGGUGAAGAUCUGCCACAAUUCUUUUGGGCCAAAAUGUCAUUUACGACAAUCGUCGGCCACAACUUGAGCUGACAGGACCCAUCUUCAAUUGCUCACGUCCGAUCCUUCUAAGAUUUCGCCAAUUUGGAGUGCUACAAAAUGGUGAAAUACACUAACAUCCGAAUGUAUCCAGCAUAUAACGUCUUUUAAGUCUGUCUAAAAUACUGACAUUUCUGACUCGAUACAUCUGGCCAACUCCAGCCCCAAAACAGCAGCCAUGAGUUCCAUUCAUUUUAAUAGCAACUCUUGUAUUCGACACCACUAGACUGAAAUAAACUUGAUCAUCUACUUUAGUUUAAACGAAUGGAUUGGUAGCGUAUCUGACAUCUACCUACACUAGCCGCAAAAUCGGGCUGUUCGUAGAUUGUUUUACGUUGGCAACAAUGACACCAGUCUACAUCGUAUUCUUUAAGAGGCUCAUCCCGUCCGAGUCAACUUUUCCAAACAUUUUUCAGAAAGAUUUUGGCGGGUAUGUUGAAAAGUCCUACAAGUGCAACAGGGUCGGAGAUAAUCAUAAUCAUGCUUUGGUUGGCCAACCAACCAAAGCCUUUGCGAUUGCUUUACCAUAAACGUUAGAUAAUCUUCUCUAGUUUGCCAUCAAAUGCCAUGAACCUUUUGCGAAGAAUCGUCAGGGUAACAAAUUGGCUUGUCCAAUAUCUCAUAUCUAUUUUGAAGAGUGUAGAUCACUGUUUAUCAAUUUGAUGUCCAGUGUCGGAUGUCAAAUCCACCAUUAGCAUGAAUUAAUGUCACCGCCUGCGCCAGUUUUCUCAUCCCAAAUAUUGAGUACACAGACUGAGACCAGUGAUCAACAAAAGUAUGCCCGCAAAUUGCUUGCUAUUAGACAAAAGUUUCAGACGUUAUUUCAAAAAUUCUUUUGUUUGGGAAAAAGCGCCUACUUCCUACGUGUCUUAGUUGCAUUGGCUGCAUAGCUGGUGUAUUGUGCACUCUAUUGUAUAUUUUGAACGCAGAACUAUAAAAUUAUACCAAAUGCACUGUUUUGGUUUAACUCGAAAUGGAUAGCGGAUAUUUCUCGGUCGAGCACAGUCGACUUUAGCUUUCUCACUUGUUUUUAUUGCAUUCGUGUUCUGUGCAUACCUUUAAAUCAAUUGCCUCUACUUAGGCUAACAUACAAAUCAAAAGCAAAUCACGUGCCAAAAUUUCCAGCAUUACUACGAUGACCGGCAUUUGCUUGCCAUAAUGGUGAAAUUCCCUUGCAUAAAAAGGAAUCGCCGAUUACAAAUUACCAGUGGGAAAUGCGCUCCUAAAAAUUGUCACUUUAAAAUUUGUGUAACUUGCGAAAUAUAUAGCUUUUUCGUAAGUCAUUUAUGUAUAUCAUUUGGGAACAGCGCAGAACUCAGGUCAAAUGAACUGAAAAAUUAUCUAAAUAAAAAUAUAAUAAUGAAUAUUAGUUGUAGUACAUCAAAUAUAUGUAAAACGAAUAUUCAAAUUGAAUAUAAACUUUCUAGAAGUGUUUAAAGUAAGGCCAAAAUCCAGAGUUUUUAUUUAACACUAGAGUGCUGCGCUUUGGGUCAGCUCUGGCCUGACUGGUUCCCGUGAACCUGCGAAAUUAAGUUGUUUUAGUAUCUUGACAAAAGGUCAAUUGUCUUAAGGAUUUCGACCAAAAUUGCUACAUGUCUUGCUUAUACAUACAUAUGUAUAUGUAUGAAUCAUCGAACACAUCAUAAGCGUCAUAGCCAUUAAUCGACAACAUUAUUUUUUGGGCUUAUUAUAUCCGCCCCCAAUAGUAAUGUAAUGUAAUGUAUGUAACAGGCGGAAGGAGUCAUCGCCGCCUGUCUGUCUGUACGUAUGAAACACUGGCUCUCAGAGACAAUAAAAUAUAGGCUGUAAUUCUUUGUCGACAGAACUUGUUAUGUUUGUACGCAGAUCCUGUUUUUUUCACGCGAAAUAAGCCGAAGAGGGUCUGGUGUUCAGUGUUGCCAACGCUUGGUGGUCACACCAGACUCUGGUGACCAGAGAAGUAAAAAAAAUGAAGGCAUCAAUUGUACAGUAUUUCUUCAUAAAGCAAAUUGCUUAAAAUUUGACCAACCUCCUCGGAAGUUAAGUACUUUCCCAUUGUAAGUACCAAUCUGUGUAAGAUACUUUGGACGUCACACUAAAACAGCAUUUUUCAGCUCAAUGCAAGUUGGUCUAGCAGUUUUAAUCCAGUGCUUAAAUUAAGGAUCUUUCAACCAAGCAUCGCAAAUUUGUUGUUUAUACAUUUGAGUCAUUUUUCGGCAUUCGAUCACCGUACAAACAAACGCACCACAAAAAUCAGUUAAUUUGAAUGUUGAGAAAAUACCGAAACACUGCAAAGGGUAAAUAGUAUUUUAGUAUUUAAAAUACGCAAUUCGGUCACGCUGAGCGGUAGACGUGGUGUAUUUGAAUCGAUACAUCAUCAUGUCUAUUGCCAAUAUACGAUUUUCGAAAAUUGUUAAAGCAUCGGAUCGGCUUGUGUCACAAUAAUACUGUUGCGAAUGAUACGUUUUUGCUUAAGACUUAAAGCAUCUAAAUUAUAUGGUUAUUAUUUUUUCGUGCAACUCCAUAUAAAACAAACAAGAAAGUUAUAAUCGAGAAUGCUCGAAUAAAAGCAAAACAGUCCAGUAUUAUUCUUAAAAUAUACCGAAUUAAUAUACCUCAAAUUAUACCGAAAUCUAUAUUUGCUAUAUUAAUAUAGUACUACAUUGAAAAUAUAAAUAGAAUAAAAAAUUUAGCAGGCUGUUAGCCAAAGCUACUAAGGCCCUUGUUAGUGCUGUCGAAAUAAAAUUAUCAGCGGGGCUCUGGUUUUCACAUUCACAUUUCGUUUUGAAUACAAAAAUUAAAAAAUUGGUUCUCCCUUUUCAGUUUCGAAAGAUUCUUUCGAUUUACAAAACGAUUGACUUAUUGAUUUAUUGCCGCUCUUUUAAGACAGUCAUUUGCCGUCGGCAACAACAAUUUUCGUUUUGGUGAGCGACAGAUAAAUCCGACACCUUGAGCAAGUUAAAAAUACUUGUAUAAUGGAAAGGAUGGCAAUUUGUUGAAGUUGGAUAAAAUAUGUUUUUUAAAAAUGUACUUAUUUAAUAUAAUUACUUAAGUGCUAAAAUUGCAUAAAAAAAAGUUGUUGAAAUCACCGGAAUGAAAUCGAUCAAAAAGGUGGCAUCCGCUUUUUUGUGGGAAACAGCUGAUUGCCGUUCCACUGUUUUUUUAUAUAAGUUUUAAAUCCUUAUUUGCAAAUAAGACAAAGAGCAUAUAUAUUUAUUUCGGGGAAAUGCAUAAAUCACCUAUGCAGGAUACAAAAUAUAUUUAUGUGAGUUCUAUCCACGCAGGAAAUUCGACAUACGGAAUGAAUUUUUUGUGUUGUUUCUAACCAAAACACAAGUCAGCUAUUUCAGCAGCAGGAAAUGAAAUGUUCCGUGCAAACGGUGCACCUAAAAACGAAAAUCUCGUUUUUGAUCCCAAAACGAAAAGUGAUUACCAGAGCACGCCUGUGUAUCUCUAUCUCUCAUUGUCUCUGAAGUCUAUGUGCUCAUACAGACGGAUGGACUGAUAGACCUACAGACAGGCGGACAAACGGACAUGGCUAGAUUGUCUCGUUGACGCUGAUCAAGAAUAUAUAUACUUCAUUGGGUUGGAAAUGCCUCCAUCUGCCUGGGGUCGAACUAAAUAGGAGCACCGCUAAAUUGAGUGUGGUAUGCCAU